UACGUAGGGUGCGAGCGUUGUCCGGAAUUACUGGGCGUAAAGGGCUCGUAGGUGGCCAACUAAGUCAGAUGUGAAAUCCCUCGGCUUAACCGGGGAACUGCGUCUGAUACUGGAUGGCUUGAGUUCGGGAGAGGGAUGCGGAAUUCCAGGUGUAGCGGUGAAAUGCGUAGAUAUCGGGAGGAACACCAGUGGCGAAGGCGACUACCUGGCCUGUUCUUGACGCUGAGGCGCGAAAGCUAGGGGAGCAAACGGG
rnacentral:rRNA from 1 species